UACGUAGGGGGCAAGCGUUGUCCGGAUUUACUGGGCGUAAGGAGCGCGCAGGCGGUCGUAUAAGUCGAAUGUGAAAGCCCCCGGCUCAACUGGGGAGGGUCAUUCGAUACUGUUCGACUCGAAGGCAGGAGAGGGAAGUGGAAUUCCGGGUGUAGUGGUGAAAUGCGUAGAUAUCCGGAGGAACACCAGUGGCGAAGGCGACUUUCUGGCCUGUUCUUGACGCUGAGGCGCGAAAGCUAGGGGAGCAAACGGG
rnacentral:rRNA from 1 species